rnacentral:tRNA from 1 species
GAGGGCAUAGCUCAGUGGUAGAGCACAUGCUUAGCAUGCACGAGGUCCUGGGUUCAAGCCUCAGUAUCUCCA